rnacentral:rRNA from 1 species
UACGGAGGGGACUAGCGUUGUUCGGAAUUACUGGGCGUAAAGCGCGCGUAGGCGGAUUUGCAAGUCGGGGGUGAAAUCCCGAGGCUCAACCUCGGAACUGCCUUCGAUACUGCAAAUCUCGAGUCCGGAAGAGGUGAGUGGAAUUCCUAGUGUAGAGGUGAAAUUCGUAGAUAUUAGGAAGAACACCAGUGGCGAAGGCGGCUCACUGGUCCGGUACUGUCGCUGAGGCGCGAAAGCGUGGGGAGCAAACAGG